GUUGUAUGGUUAAGUGACUAAGCGUACACGGUGGAUGCCUUGGCAGUCAGAGGCGAUGAAGGACGUAUUAACUUGCGAUAAGCCCAGAUUAGGUAGUAAAAACCAUUUGAGUCUGGGAUUUCCGAAUGGGGAAACCCAAUACCAUAAGGUAUUACUGUUGAGUGAAUACAUAGCUCAACAGGGCGAACCGGGGGAACUGAAACAUCUAAGUACCCCGAGGAAAAGAAAUCAACCGAGAUUCCGAAAGUAGCGGCGAGCGAAAUUGGACUAGCCCUUAAGCUUUACACGCGUUAGACGAACAGCCUGGAAAGGCCGACGAUACAGGGUGAUAGUCCCGUAGUUGACGACGUGUGUUCAGUGAAAUCGAGUAGGGCGGGACACGUGAUAUCCUGUCUGAAUAUGGGGGGACCAUCCUCCAAGGCUAAAUACUACUGACUGACCGAUAGUGAACCAGUACCGUGAGGGAAAGGCGAAAAGAACCCCUGUGAGGGGAGUGAAAUAGAACCUGAAACCGUGUACGUACAAGCAGUAGGAGCAGGCUUUGUCCUGUGACUGCGUACCUUUUGUAUAAUGGGUCAGCGACUUAUAUUCAGUGGCAAGGUUAACCAUCUAGGGGAGCCGUAGGGAAACCGAGUCUUAACUGGGCGUUCAGUCUCUGGAUAUAGACCCGAAACCAGGUGAUCUAGCCAUGGGCAGGUUGAAGGUUGAGUAACAUCAACUGGAGGACCGAACCGACUAAUGUUGAAAAAUUAGCGGAUGACUUGUGGCUAGGGGUGAAAGGCCAAUCAAACCUGGAGAUAGCUGGUUCUCCCCGAAAGCUAUUUAGGUAGCGCCUCGGACGAAUACUACUGGGGGUAGAGCACUGUUAAGGCUAGGGGGUCAUCCCGACUUACCAACCCUUUGCAAACUCCGAAUACCAGUAAGUACUAUCCGGGAGACACACGGCGGGUGCUAACGUCCGUCGUGGAGAGGGAAACAACCCAGACCGCCAGCUAAGGUCCCAAAUUACUACUAAGUGGGAAACGAUGUGGGAAGGCUCAGACAGCCAGGAUGUUGGCUUAGAAGCAGCCAUCAUUUAAAGAAAGCGUAAUAGCUCACUGGUCGAGUCGGCCUGCGCGGAAGAUGUAACGGGGCUAAGUA
rnacentral:rRNA from 1 species